GCAAGUCGAACGGCAGCAUGGGUACUUGUACCUGAUGGCGAGUGGCGGACGGGUGAGUAAUGCAUAGGAAUCUGCCCAGUAGUAGGGGACAACGCAGGAAACUUGCGCUAAUACCGUAUACGCCCCAAGGGGGAAAGCAGGGGAUCUUCGGACCUUGCGCUAUUGGAUGAGCCUAUGUCAGAUUAGCUUGUUGGUGGGGUAAUGGCCUACCAAGGCGACGAUCUGUAGCUGGUCUGAGAGGACGAUC
rnacentral:rRNA from 1 species